rnacentral:rRNA from 1 species
AUGCACGCUAGCUACAGGCUUAACCCCUGCCAGUCGAGGGGAAACGACAUCGAAAGCUUGCUUUUGAUGGGCGUCGACCGGCGCACGGGUGAGUAACGCGUAUCCAACCUGCCCAUCACUUGGGAAUAACCUUGCGAAAGUAAGACUAAUACCCAAUGAUAUCCCACGAAGGCAUCGGAAUGGGAUUAAAGAUUUAUCGGUGAUGGAUGGGGAUGCGUCUGAUUAGCUUGUUGGCGGGGUAACGGCCCACCAAGGCAACGAUCAGUAGGGGUUCUGAGAGGAAGGUCCCCCACAUUGGAACUGAGACACGGUCCAAACUCCUACGGGAGGCAGCAGUGAGGAAUAUUGGUCAAUGGGCGAGAGCCUGAACCAGCCAAGUAGCGUGCAGGAAGACGGCCCUAUGGGUUGUAAACUGCUUUUAUAAGGGAAUAAAGUGGGUCACGUGUGACUUUUUGCAUGUACCUUAUGAAUAAGGACCGGCUAAUUCCGUG